GAUGAACGCUGGCGGCGUGCCUAAUACAUGCAAGUCGAGCGAACAGACGAGGAGCUUGCUCCUCUGACGUUAGCGGCGGACGGGUGAGUAACACGUGGAUAACCUACCUAUAAGACUGGGAUAACUUCGGGAAACCGGAGCUAAUACCGGAUAAUAUAUUGAACCGCAUGGUUCAAUAGUGAAAGACGGUUUUGCUGUCUCUUAUAGAUGGAUCCGCGCCGCAUUAGCUAGUUGGUAAGGUAACGGCUUACCAAGGCAACGAUGCGUAGCCGACCUGAGAGGGUGAUCAGCCACACUGGAACUGAGACACGGUCCAGACUCCUACGGGAGGCAGCAGUAGGGAAUCUUCCGCAAUGGGCGAAAGCCUGACGGAGCAACGCCGCGUGAGUGAUGAAGGUCUUCGGAUCGUAAAACUCUGUUAUUAGGGAAGAACAAAUGUGUAAGUAACUAUGCACGUCUUGACGGUACCUAAUCAGAAAGCCACGGCUAACUACGUG
rnacentral:rRNA from 1 species